GUUCAUUGGACUCAAGCCACAAUUGGCAUCGUUGCGGUCAACUUUUUCACCCUGACGAGCCGAGGCACUAGUUUCUACAAAUUUUCCUAUCUUGAACUGAAAAUCUGGGACGUUUUCCACAUAGGCCAUAGCUAACGAAAGAAAGAAAAAGAGAAAGCACAGCUACCCAUAUCUUCAACCACCUGCACCUCCAACAAGAGCAACUGCUACUCCAUCUUGGACCGCCACCGCUUAAAUAAGCCAAAUUUCCAAUUUUCCAAUUUCCAGUUUCACAAUUUAGUGAUUUACCCAGUAUUUUUCUUGUAAAGAAAACACAAAUAAUUGGCCUUUUCUUAUUAUGGAAAUAUGAACUUGUUACGCAGAGAGAUGGGAUUGAUUUUAGUGGAAAAGCUUGAAGAAAAUUGGAAUUUAUUUAGGGAAUAAUUUUGGACAUAAAAAGUUGCAAUAUUUAUCACUAACUUGUACCAUUUUUCUGGGAAUUUGGCAGCAACAAAAUAAUUCCACCAUUGGAGUUUGCCUUUAUUUCUAGCUCGUAGCUCUCAUGUUUAAAAGCAACAAUCUUGUUGCUAGAUUAUUUGAACGCCAGACUCAUCGUUCUACUCCUGGCACUAAUAUUCAUCGUGCUAGGCAUUUUUAUGAGAAUCUUGUGCCAAGUUAUACCUUAUAUGACGUUGAUUGCCCAGACCAUUCUUUUCGCAAGUUUACUGAAGAUGGUCAGUACCUGAUAAGCUUCAGUAGAAAUUACCAGGAGCUCAUUGUUUAUAGACCAGCAUGGUUAUCAUUUUCAUGUUGCGGAGAGGAGUGUGAUUCUCAUGAUCUGCCUUCUAGAGCAAACAAGUUUGAUAGCUUCUUCACUCAGUUAUACUGUGUAUCACUUGCAUCAAGCAAUGAGCUUAUUUGCAAGGACUUUUUUGUUUAUAUGGAGAACAACCGAUUUGGACUCUUCGCAACUUCUACGGCACAAGUUCAUGAUGCUCCAGCCACAGGAGGUGCAGUACACGGCGUUCCAUCUAUAGAAAAAAUAACCUUUCACCUACUGAGAUUGGAAGACGGCAUUAUAUUGGACAAGAAGGUCUUUCACAAUGAUUUUAUUAACUUGGCACAUAACAUGGGUGUGUAUCUAUAUGAUGAUUUGCUCGCUGUUGUGUCUCUUCGCUAUCAGACAAUACAUAUACUCCAAAUAAGAGAAUCUGGGAACAUUGUUGAUGUGCGAGCCAUUGGAGAAUACUGUCGAGAAGAUGACGAACUCUUCCUGUAUUCAAGUGCUCAGUGUGGAACAAUAGAUGAUAGUACUAUACAGAUGGAAGCCCUUGUGAAUAAUAAUGAAGGUAUUCCCAACAACAAUCAUUCUGCGGCACAAAAUGUUUUUCUCAGUGGUAUCAAACAACGGUUACUUUCAUUCAUAUUUCGAGGGAUAUGGAAUGAAGAAGCUGAUGAAACACAAAGGGUCCAUUCAUUGAAGAAGAAGUUCUAUUUUCACUUCCAAGAUUAUGUUGAUUUGAUAAUAUGGAAGGUUCAAUUCCUGGACAGACAUCACUUAUUGAUCAAAUUUGGUAGUGUGGAUGGAGGGGUCUCUCGAAACGCUGACCACCAUCCUGCUUUCUUUGCUAUAUAUGACAUGGAGGCUGCAGAAUUUGUUGCAUUUUACCAGAAUUCAGCAGAUGAGCUUUAUUUUUUGCUUGAGAAGUUUGCUGACCAUUUCCACACACCUCCAAACAAUUCAUUACAUAUGAAUUUCAUCUCAUCUCAUUCGAAUAACCUUCAUGCUUUUGAGCAAUUAAACUUCCUGAAAAAUAAGUCUGGCAGCUUAUCUCAGUUAUUGCAGUUUGUGAAGAAGACUUUGGUGUCUUUACCUUUCACUUGUCAGUCUCAGAGUCCAUCACCCUAUUUUGAUCAGUCUCUCUUUCGGUUUGAUGAGAAGAUUGGCAGAAGAAAUACUGCUGCAUGCUGUCUGCACAUCUUAGUGCCACCACAUGGUCGUUGGUCAGAAGACGCCGUAGGUAAUUUCAUAGCCUGCCACAGGGCCAUAUCUACUCAAAAAUUGCUGCAAUUCUGUGCUCCUGGCAAUGAUGCCGUGGUGCUCCUGUGCCUAUGCGCAUGUAUUGUGUCGUAUACUGUGCUGCCCUUGAAGAUUCCAAAUAUUAGCAUCGUCAAUAACUCAAAACGUCCUACAUAUGUGAUCAUAUAUUCACCAAACGAUCCCCAUGUGGAUCAACAUCCAAGUAUGAAAAUGCAGUAAGAUCUGAAGUUGCCAAUAUAUGAACAUGAAGUGCCUUAAAGUUGAAAUGCCGACAAUCCCGUGAAACCUCACAUUCCGUUUGCAACAGAAGUUAUGAAAGUUGGAAAUCUCAUAUACAAUUUUAAGGUAUAAAAUACAGCAAAACAUGAUCAACUUAUCACAAUAAGAUGGAAUUUCAUCCCCCAAAGCAGCUCACACUCAAGCGUAGAAAGACCAGAAGCACAUUACUCCUGAUUUCGGCAACUGAACGACACAGGCAAUCUACUGACCAUCCCAUUAAAUUUAUCUCAAGGAGGCAACCGAAAAUUCCUAAAUUCAAGAUUAAACCAGGCCCAGAAGCUGGGAAUUCA